CCUACGGGAGGCAGCAGUGAGGAAUAUUGGUCAAUGGACGAGAGUCUGAACCAGCCAAGUAGCGUGAAGGAUGACUGCCCUAUGGGUUGUAAACUUCUUUUAUAUGGGAAUAAAACGUUCCACGUGUGGGAUUUUGUAUGUACCAUAUGAAUAAGGAUCGGCUAACUCCGUGCCAGCAGCCGCGGUAAUACGGAGGAUCCGAGCGUUAUCCGGAUUUAUUGGGUUUAAAGGGAGCGUAGGUGGAUUGUUAAGUCAGUUGUGAAAGUUUGCGGCUCAACCGUAAAAUUGCAGUUGAAACUGGCAGUCUUGAGUACAGUAGAGGUGGGCGGAAUUCGUGGUGUAGCGGUGAAAUGCUUAGAUAUCACGAAGAACUCCGAUUGCGAAGGCAGUUCACUGGACUGCAACUGACACUGAGGCUAGAAAGUGUGGGUAUCAAACAGGAUUAGAUACCCUUGUAGUC
rnacentral:rRNA from 1 species